AAUAAAGAGGCAUCUGCUAGAAUUCAAUUGUUCAUCAAUAUAUUUUGAGUUUCUAUUUUAUGUCAUUGAAAAACUCAUAAAGUUUAUGAUGGAAAUAAGUCAAAGGGGGAAGGACAAGUUUAAUCUUAGAAAUAUUAAAUUUCAGAUGACGGUGGACCCUGUAAGUAAGCUGUUGGAAGGAUGGAAGAUAAGGAGAGAGAAUGGACUUAAAGUAUUAUUUGGGGCAUUGUGGCAGAAUCUGCUAGCUGUUUUCCAAUAUAUGUUCCCUCCUUCAUUCUUAGUAAUAGAAUUGUUAAAUUUUAGCAGGGCAUAGAGCCACCCAGAGUAAAGACUAUAUUUUCCUGCUUUCUUCUAGCUAACAUUGGUCAUAUGACUAAGUUCGGCCCAACAGAAUAAAAAUGGAAGUGUUGUAUAUGACUUCUAUGUCUUUAAGAAGAGUGGGGAACCUGGUGUGGUGGCUCACAUCUGCAAUACCAACACUUUGGGAGGCUGAGGCAGGUGGAUCGCUUGAACCCAGGAGUGCAAGACCAGCCUGGGCCAGAAGUCCAUGACAGCUGGAUCUUAGACAAACAUUCUGUGUCAUGAGGAGGAAGCCAAAUUCUGAGGAUGGCGGAGCAGGAAGAUAGAAGUCAGAACCCCAACGACCUUGUGAACUAUACUACCGACUGUGAACUGCCAACUCCGGACUUUUUUACAUGAGCAAGAAAUAAACUUCUUUCUUGUUUAAGGCA